UACAGAGGGGGCAAGCGUUAUUCGGAAUUAUUGGGCGUAAAGGGCGCGUAGGCGGCCUGGCAAGUGGAAGGUGAAAUCCCUCGGCUUAACCGAGGAACUGCCCUCCAAACUGCUUGGCUUGAGUCCGGGAGAGGUGAGUGGAAUUCCCAGUGUAGCGGUGAAAUGCGUAGAUAUUGGGAGGAACACCAGUGGCGAAGGCGGCUCACCGGACCGGAACUGACGCUGAGGCGCGAAAGCGUGGGGAGCAAACGGG
rnacentral:rRNA from 1 species